UUCAAUGAUGAUUUACUUUAAUUUAAUCACGACGGUCAACAUAAUCAUUUUCAUUGAUGACCACUGCCUGUGACAGGGCAUUUAUCUGACA
rnacentral:snoRNA from 1 species